UACGUAGGGUGCGAGCGUUGUCCGGAAUUAUUGGGCGUAAAGAGCUCGUAGGCGGUGUGUCACGUCGUUCGUGAAAACCUGCAGCUUAACUGUGGGCGUGCGGUCGAUACGGGCAUCACUGGAGUUCGGCAGGGGAGACUGGAAUUCCUGGUGUAGCGGUGAAAUGCGCAGAUAUCAGGAGGAACACCGGUGGCGAAGGCGGGUCUCUGGGCCGAUACUGACGCUGAUGAGCGAAAGCGUGGGGAGCAAACAGG
rnacentral:rRNA from 1 species